GGCCAUGAAGCAUAAUUGGUUUAUGCACUAGGUUGCAAACCUGGGGAUUAUGGGUUCGAGUCCCAUGAUGGCUU
rnacentral:tRNA from 2 species